GAUGAACGCUGGCGGCGUGCCUAAUACAUGCAAGUCGAGCGAAAAGACGAGGAGCUUGUUCUCCUGACGUUAGCGGCUGGCGGGCGAGUAACGCGUGGAUAACCUACCUAUAUUACUGGGAUAACUUCGGAAGACCGGGUCUGAUAACGGAGAAUAUGUUGAACCGGAUGAUGCAAUAGUGAUAGGCGGUUUUGCUGUUACUUAUAGCUGGUUCCGCGCCGGAUUAGCUAGUUGGUAAGGUAACGGCUUACCAAGGCAACGAUGCGUAGCCGACCUGAGAGGGUGAUCGGCCACACUGGAACUGAGACACGGUCCAGACUCCUACGGGAGGCAGCAGUAGGGAAUCUUCGGCAAUGGGCGCAAGCCUGACGGAGCAAUGCCGCGUGGGUGAAGAAGGUCUUCGGAUUGUAAAGCCCUUUUGUUAGGAAAGAACAGAAGUGUAAUUAACCCUGCCCGUUUUGACGGUACCCAAACAGAAAGCCCCGGCUAACUACGUG
rnacentral:rRNA from 1 species